rnacentral:rRNA from 1 species
CCUACGGGAGGCAGCAGUGGGGAAUAUUGGACAAUGGGCGAAAGCCUGAUCCAGCAAUGCCGCGUGAGUGAUGAAGGCCUUAGGGUUGUAAAGCUCUUUUACCAGGGAUGAUAAUGACAGUACCUGGAGAAUAAGCUCCGGCUAACUCCGUGCCAGCAGCCGCGGUAAUACGGAGGGAGCUAGCGUUGUUCGGAAUUACUGGGCGUAAAGCGUACGUAGGCGGUUAUUCAAGUCAGAGGUGAAAGCCUGGAGCUCAACUCCAGAACUGCCUUUGAAACUAGAUAGCUAGAAUCUUGGAGAGGUGAGUGGAAUUCCGAGUGUAGAGGUGAAAUUCGUAGAUAUUCGGAAGAACACCAGUGGCGAAGGCGACUCACUGGACAAGUAUUGACGCUGAGGUACGAAAGCGUGGGGAGCAAACAGGAUUAGAUACCCUGGUAGUCCACGCCGUAAACGAUGAUAACUAGCUGUUCGGGCUCUACGAGCUUGAGUGGCGCAGCUAACGCAUUAAGUUAUCCGCCUGGGGAGUACGGUCGCAAGNUUAAAACUUAAUGAUUGACGG